rnacentral:lncRNA from 1 species
UCUUAACAACUUUAUAUGGUCCAAGAUACCUUGGACUCAAUUUACCCUUCCUACCAAACCUCAAAACCUUCUUCCAAGGUGAAAAUUUCAAAAAUACCUUGUCGCCAACUUCAAACUCGAUGUCAUGACAUUUCAAAUUAGCAUUAGAUUUUUGCCUAUCCGAUGCUACUUUCAACCUUUCACAGAUCAACUUCACUUUCUCUUCACUCUCUCGAAC